GACGAACAAUGGCGGCGUGCCUAAUACAUGCAAGUAGAACGCAGUUGCGAACGGGUGAGUAACGCGUAGGUAACUGCCUGGUAGCGGGGGAUAACUAUUGGACACGAUAGCUAAUACCGCAUACUACCAGAUGGACCUGCGUUGUAUUAGCUAGUUGGUGAGGUAACGGCUCACCAAGGGAACGAUACAUAUCCGAACUGGGAGGGGGGUCGGCCCCACUGGGACCGAGACACGGCCCAGGUGCCCUCUGGAUGCAGCAGGAGGGGAACUUCUGCAAUGGGGGGAAACCUGACCGGGCAACGCCGCGUGGUGGAAGAAGGUUUUCGGGUCGUAAAGCUCGGUUUUUAAGGAAGCGGUACUUAACCAGAAAGGGACGGCUAACUACGUGCCAGCAGCCGCGGUAAUUC
rnacentral:rRNA from 1 species